GGAGGAAAGUAGGGGAUCGAAAGACCUUGCGCUUUGGGAGCGGCCGAUGUCUGAUUAGCUAGUUGGUGGGGUAAAGGCCUACCAAGGCGACGAUCAGUAGUUGGUCUGAGAGGACGACCAGCCACACUGGGACUGAGACACGGCCCAGACUCCUACGGGAGGCAGCAGUGGGGAAUUUUGGACAAUGGGCGCAAGCCUGAUCCAGCAAUGCCGCGUGAGUGAAGAAGGCCUUCGGGUUGUAAAGCUCUUUCAGUCGAGAAGAAAAAGCUGCAGUGAAUAACUGUAGUUCAUGACGGUAUCGACAGAAGAAGCACCGGCUAACUACGUGCCAACAGCCGCGGUAGUACGUAGGGUGCGAGCGCUAAUCGGAAUUACUGGGCGUAAAGGGUGCGCAGGCGGCUUUGUAAGUCAGAUGUGAAAUCCCCGGGCUUAACCUGGGAAUUGCGUUUGAAACUACAAAGCUAG
rnacentral:rRNA from 1 species